UACGAAGGGGGCUAGCGUUGCUCGGAAUUACUGGGCGUAAAGCGCACGUAGGCGGACUUUUAAGUCGGGGGUGAAAUCCUGGGGCUCAACCCCAGAACUGCCUUCGAAACUGAAAGUCUUGAGUUCGGGAGAGGUGAGUGGAACUCCGAGUGUAGAGGUGAAAUUCGUAGAUAUUCGCAAGAACACCAGUGGCGAAGGCGGCUCACUGGCCCGCUACUGACGCUGAGGUGCGAAAGCGUGGGGAGCAAACAGG
rnacentral:rRNA from 1 species